ACUUUUAUAAUGGGGUACCAUUUUGCAAAUAAUCCCUCCAACUUUCACUUUCUCAAACCAGUUAAACUGGCACUUCGGGACACUGCGUACCGGUACUCAUACCCGUAUACCGAUACACGGCCUCCAGUUUCGGUGCCCAGUUUCCAGUCCCUCAAAACUAGACCUGGCAAAAUUGACCCAAACCCGCGGGUUACCCACAAAUUUGUGGCUAUGGGUACCAACUUUUCCAACCCAAAAAAUUACGGGUAAAACAGGUGGGUACCCAUUAAGCAGUGGGUAUUUUGGGUAACCCGCAGGUACCCACGAGUACCCGCACAUAUAUUUUUUAAUUAUAAAAUAUAUUUUCUUAAUUAAUAUAUAUUUUUUAUUUACUCAUCCUAAAAAUUCCAAUCCUAAUUUUUUAUUGCGUGUUUUUUAUAUUAUGAAAUAUUUUUGCUUUAAGACUUUAAAUAUUUUUAUUAUAUGUUAU
rnacentral:lncRNA from 1 species